AUUGAACGCUGGCGGCAGGCCUAACACAUGCAAGUCGAACGAGUGGCGGACGGGUGAGUAAUGUCUGGGAAACUGCCCGAUGGAGGGGGAUAACUACUGGAAACGGUAGCUAAUACCGCAUACCAUCGGAUGUGCCCAGAUGGGAUUAGGUAGUAGGUGGGGUAACGGCGCACCUAGGCGACGAUCCCUGGCUGGUCUGAGAGGAUGACCAGCCACACUGGAACGGGGACACGGUCCAGACUCCUACGUGAGGCAGCAGUGGGGAAUGUUGCACAAUGGGCGCAAGCCUGAUGCAGCCAUGCCGCGUGUAUGAAGAAGGCCUUCGGGUUGUAAAGUACUGUCAGCGAGGAGGCGUUACUCGCAGCAGAAGCACCGGCUAACUCCGUGCCAGCAGCCGCGGUAAUUU
rnacentral:rRNA from 1 species